rnacentral:rRNA from 1 species
GAUGAACGCUGGCGGCGUGCCUAAUACAUGCAAGUCGAGCGAACAGACGAGGAGCUUGCUCCUUUGACGUUAGCGGCGGACGGGUGAGUAACACGUGGGUAACCUACCUAUAAGACUGGGAUAACCUCGGGAAACCGGAGCUAAUACCGGAUAAUAUUUCGAACCGCAUGGUUCGAUAGUGAAAGAUGGCUUUGCUAUCACUUAUAGAUGGACCUGCGCCGUAUUAGCUAGUUGGUAAGGUAACGACUUACCAAGGCAACGAUACGUAGCCGACCUGAGAGGGUGAUCGGCCACACUGGAACUGAGACACGGUCCAGACUCCUACGGGAGGCAGCAGUAGGGAAUCUUCCGCAAAGGGCGAAAGCCUGACGGAGCAACGCCGCGUGAGUGAUGAAGGUCUUCGGAUCGUAAAACUCUGUUAUUAGGGAAGAACAAACGUGUAAGUAACUGUGCACGUCUUGACGGUACCUAAUCAGAAAGCCACGGCUAACUACGUG